GCAGUUAACAACCAGGAACAGAAGCUGGCAGAAACACAACAAUUGCUGGACAGUUUGAAGACAUCAGUCUCAAAUCAACAAAAUAAACAAUGUGACUGUGACUCACUGUCAAGCUCACUAAGAGAUGUUCACAGUUCAAUGUCUAAUCUGACUUCAUCUGUCGUGUCUCUUUCAUCUAAACAACAGAUCACUGAAGAGAGACUCAUAAGCAGUUUAAAUGAACUGAAAGCCCAGAUUAACAACAAAUCAUCAUCAGGUA